AAAUAACAAAUAAGGUUAAAUUUGUUCUUUUUGCUCAUGAUAACAGGUGGAGCACUGCCAUAAAGGACAAAACACUCCUGCUUGAGUGCAUGAAACUGAGUAAAUGAUGAGGCUUUCUAUUCUUCUGAUGUUCCUCUUGGCUCUGGCUCCCAGCUCUGGCUCUGCUUCACGUUGUAAGGAAAAUUGGAAUAACCAAAAAGGCUACACUAAAUUCUCAGAAAAGCACAUUCUGUCAAUAAAUAUUGAAAGAAACCUGAAACUGAAAGUACUAAAGGACAGAUUUGAAACAUACCUACAAAAACAAGAGCUCUGUGGAAGAGUAGAUUUGCAGACCUUCUUUAAACAGAAUGACAGAAAUAAAGUUGACAGCAUCUGUAAUGGUCGCGGCUUUGUAGACGGUCCUGGAAAUCUGUGCAUCAGUGAGCAGAAGUUCACUGUUUACAUGGUGGAAAGCAGGAAAGUCAAAAGUGGUUGUAAAGUAAAUAGAGUUAAUAUCGAGACCCUGUAUGUGGUUGUUGGCUGCGGAAAGAUUAAAGACAAAUGUCUGCCUGUCCACUUUCAUAAUCAGACCUCUGUGGCACCAAAACCAGAUGCUGUUCGUUGUAAACCAAAGCAGCUCAUUCAUUCUGCACCUAAACACAAAACCUUCUUUUGGUUCUAUUUGUCUUCUUCCAAGCUUCCCACUGCUGGAUAAAAGUCUCUGCUAGAAAAAUCUAUGCUAAUUAUACACUCACCGGCCACUUUAUUAGGUACAAUUGCUUGUUAGCACAAAUAGCUAAUCAGCCAAUCACACGGCUGCAACUCACUGCAUUGAGGCGUGUAGAGGUGGUCAAGACAACUUGCUGAAGUGCAGACUGAGCAUCAGAACGGGGAAGAAAGGGGAUUUAAGGGGCUUUGAACGUGGCGUGGUUGUUGGUGCCAGACAGGCUGAUCUGAGUAUUUCAGAACCUGCUGAUCUGCUGGGAUUUUCACACACAACCAUCUCGAGGGUUUACAGAGAACGGUCCGAAAAAGAGGAAACAUCCAGUGAGCGGUCAGUUGUGUGGAUGAAGAUGCCUUGUUGAUGUGAGAGGUCAGAGGAGAAUGGGCAGACUGGUUCCAGAUGAUAGAAAGGCAGCAGUAACUCAAAGAACCACUUGUAAGAAACCAAGGAGUGCAGAACACCAUCUCUGAAUGCACAACGUGUAAUUUGUACCUAAUAAAGUGGCCAGUGAGUGUAGUUCAAGAAGAGCCUAAACAUUUAAAGAAUAAGCACUUGCAUAUUUUCCUGCUGUUAUUGUGAUUAUAAAGUUCCUCUUAAUAAGUUGUGACUAUGUUUAAAGAUCUGAAUUGUGAAUUUAAAAGCCUGUGUGAAUGUUUUAUAUGCAAGAAACUGAAAGAUGUUGC
ensembl:lncRNA